rnacentral:rRNA from 1 species
UACGAAGGGGGCUAGCGUUGUUCGGAAUUACUGGGCGUAAAGGGCGCGUAGGCGGCCCGUUUAGUCAGAUGUGAAAGCCCCGGGCUCAACCUGGGAACUGCAUUCGAUACUGCCGUGCUUGAGGACUGGAGAGGAGACUGGAAUUUACGGUGUAGCGGUGAAAUGCGUAGAUAUCGUAAGGAAGACCAGUGGCGAAGGCGGGUCUCUGGACAGUUCCUGACGCUGAGGCACGAAGGUCAGGGGAGCAAACGGG